ACCCCCCCUCCCCCCGGCUAUAUCAAUAAGUAAUUAAUUAGUGGGCAGGUGGGUAAGAUAACUGUUCACAAUUGUUUAUGUACAAUAUUAAUAUAUUUACAGAUAAUAAGACAUGCAUGUAAACAUUUGGACGUCCAGGUAAGUAUUCUUUAUAAUUUUACAACGUUAAUGCAUUAAUUUUUCUGUUUUCUUUUUCACAGUUAUCCCCAGGCACCCCUGCCCAAGACAACCCUUGGUCUCUAUCCAGACCUUAAGGACCCGGGUGGCUCGUGCGCCGCCAUUUUCACAGGAUCCAGAUACUGAAUAAGUUAAAACAACUGAAAGCAGUACUGAGUUAGCUGUGAGACAGGGCUGUGCUGAGUUGUGAAAUGACCUAUUUCAGAAGAGGCACCAGCUGUCAUGUCAGAUGAAACUGAUCCAAGUAUGCUCAGGAGGAAGAACCUUGAAGGUUUUGAGGCUGAUGAAAAAAGAAAGAAAACAAAUGAUCAACCGACCACAUACAUCACCACCAGCCUGGAAACAGAUCAAAGCACCAGCAGUGAAAAACUAAACAUAAUUACCUGGAACAUAAACGGGGAUUUAAACAAGCUUACAAUCAUACGAAACCAAAACCUAGUGUUAAAAUCUGAAGAAAAUAUACGGAUCGCUCCUCAUGUUGUUUUCUUGCAAGAAACACAUAGUGUGGAGUUUCCAGAGGAUAUUACACAGGAGUGGCAUGUAUUUUACACUCAGUACAACAACACUGAAAAAGGGGUAGCCAUUUUGGUAAACAAAUCAAAAUGUCCAAAUUUUCAGCUUUACAGUCAGGAAGUCGACAGUAACGGACGUUACGUUAUUGUGAAAUGUCGCCUGGUCAGUCAUCAGAAGUACACACUCGUGUGUGUGUACAACCAUAAAUCUGACACCAAAACUCUAGACUUGCUCACACCGUAUCUGCAGAAAACUGUAGGAACCUUAGUGAUUGGAGGAGAUUUUAAUACCACAUUAGGAAAAAAUGACAGAGCCAAAGAGCAACCCGAUGGAGAGUUAGAGCACUAUGGGCCAAAUGAGAUAAACAGACAACAUGAAAAAAUCAGAAAUUGUGUGGAAAGAUUCAUGAGGAAUCUUCAACUGGUUGAUGUCUUUAGAGGAAAGAAGGGCUAUGGUCUAUGGGAUGAGACAUGCUUCACAUAUAGGCAAGAUCAAGAUCCAGAUAAGAAAACCCCCCUAUCCAGGUUGGACUACUUCUUUAUCCCUGAGGAAUGGAUGUGCUCAGUCACAAGAUGUGACGUUUUGCAGAGGGAUGCAAUUAAUUAUAUCGCACCAUUUAUGAAUGACCACAGACCACUAUUACUACAGCUGGAAAACGAACAGACAGAGAUACCAGACAUUCAGGCACUGCAACUAAACGACCCUGGUAACCUCAUUAACAUCCAUGGGGUUGAGAUUGUAGCAGCUAUUCAGUCUCUGCAGCUGAGGGACAUACCUGAUAGACCACACAUGACAUUAAGUCCUGAGGAAAUUGAAAAUUUGAAACAUGAUUUGAGUUCUCUAAUUCACGACAACAGAUUACCAGACAACUUCAAUUCUGCCAUUGAACAAACUUUCAGGGGCAUUCAGUACCAUUUCUUCAACAAGAAGUAUCUCAUCCUUUCAACAAUUGUAGCCUGGCGAUUACAAGACUGGAGCAGUGGAGGAGCAGAGGAAGCUCACGAUGUGCAAGCAACUGGCGAUGAGGUUGAAUGGCCUGCAUUACAACGCCUCAUUCAGAAUAAACUGAACGGUCAUCCACGCGUAAAUGAAUUCAACAUCAUUGAAAUGAUGUUAAGCAGUGGAACUCCAGGAAGAAUUAGGCUCUUCAACGGCUGUCCUUUAAGUCGUACACUGCACAAGCUUUUCACCAUAUAAAAUAUUAACAUCUCCAAGGAACAUGAUAAAUGCUUAUUGCUGAAAACGUAAAGAUGAAAGAAGCAAUGCAACAAAGGGGGGGUGGGGGGUGGGUACUGUUACAGUUACUGUUACUUUUAAAAGUUUUAAAUAUAUAUUUCUGUAUAAUCAAUUUUCUAGUGCAUAAAUAAUUCAGAUACAUUGCAACAUAUGUUUCAGCUUAUCAAUAUAUCCAAAUAUUCGCGCAACACAUAAAGUACUUUAAUAUAAAACUGUCGCCUAUAAUAACUGUUGAUAUUAAACUGUCGCCAUUACUUAAAAUCUUAAAAUUCCAAAUUGGCAAGGAAAAAUAAUAAAUUCAUUUUUUUUAUUCA
rnacentral:lncRNA from 1 species